UUCCUUCACACAGUUCCAAAUUUUCACAGACCCUAAAUCUGAGCUCUUCAUCUGCUUCUCUUUUCUUUGCAAUCUUAUACCCUAUCCUCCCACCGCUUCAUCGCAAUCCUCACAAACUCUGUUUCUUUUCGAUCGAAGUAUGGAAGACAAUGAUGGUGGUGUUUAGGGUUGGAGAAACGAUGGUGUGAGCAAUGGUCGGAGACGAAGGGUUUCAUCAAUCUUAAUCACAUGUAUGUUCUUCCUACUUAAUCUUUGAUUCUUUUUUGUUAUCUGAUUUGAAUCGUAUUAACCCUAUUGUUGUUGUUUGUUUUUUAUCCCAAAAACCCUAAAUACUCAAUGUCUACAUGCGGUUUGAUUUGUAUGUCGAUUUUUCCAUGGCGAUUCCUAAAUACUCAAUACCAACAUCACCAAGAUCGCAAACACUAGUUGCAAGGUCUCGAUGGAUCCCUCACUCUUCUAGCCAUGGAUGUUGUUGGUUCUAACGAAGCACCAGUGAAAGUUGAGCGGAAGAGGAUUGUAGUUUCAGUAUGUUGGAUUCUUGGAUUUCAAUCUUUGGUAUCAUGGAAUACUGUGUUGACUAUUGCAGACUACUACUAUGCCUAAUUUCUUGGAAACUAUGUAUCUAAUGAGAGGUAAAAGGGAAUUGAAGAUGUGGAAGCAAAAUCAUUUAAGGCUCGAAUGAUGGCUACCCCCUCCCUGUAAAAUAUGAAUCUUAGGUUGCUGGACCACUGGCAUGCUUAGAUUUAAUUUACGAACUGGUGAACCUUGAUGUCGUUAGGCCAUCCGCACAGAUCGAUUCAUGAAUCCUGCUUUAUCUUAACUGGAAGCUGCUUUCUCAGCAACCCGUAUAAAAACUAAGAUUACCAGUUAUAUCAAAUGCUGACCCCGGUAUGACGUUGCCUUAGCUUUGCGAGUUUAUCGGUUUUGUUAUUGGUUAAGAUGACACUGACAUCAAAGAACUCCCGCCAGAUCGUCUGUCUUACUGAGAUCCGCCGUUUCUUUGAGGAAUUUAUCCAUCUAUAUAUAUAUACACGCUAUUUAAUACCUCUGUAUUAAUGUACGUGUUUUUGGCAUUCUUAACUUGAUAACAAUAAGAAUGAGAACAAAUCAUUGAAAGCCGCAGUCAAAGCUAUCGAGUAUUGGAUGUGAAUCCAAAAUCUUGCAUCUAUUUCUGUGUUUGUUCUUUGCAUACAUAAAUCUUAUAUUUAAGCACAUGAAUGUUUGUGAUGACAGGGAUCUGUAUGCCUCCUACAUUAUUGAAAGCUUGAGGCAGUGAUUUGAUUCGGUAUGUUAGUGUAAAAACAUGUAAUAUGUCAAGAGACUUAAAAAACUUGUAAGGGUUAUAAUGGUUGCAUGCAGUUAUGUUUAACAGA